rnacentral:rRNA from 1 species
CCUACGGGUGGCAGCAGUGAGGAAUAUUGGUCAAUGGGCGCGAGCCUGAACCAGCCAAGCAGCGUGAAGGAUGACUGUCCUACGGGUUGUAAACUUCUUUUAUAAAGGAAUAAAGUGAGGCACGUGUGCCUUUUUGUAUUUACUUUAUGAAUAAGGAUCGGCUAACUCCGUGCCAGCAGCCGCGGUGAUACGGAGGAUCCGAGCGUUAUCCGGAUUUAUUGGGUUUAAAGGGAGCGUAGAUGGGUUGUUAAGUCAGUUGUGAAAGUUUGCGGCUCAACCGUAAAAUUGCAAUUGAUACUGGCAGUCUUGAGUGCAGUUGAGGUAAGCGGAAUUCGUGGUGUAGCGGUGAAAUGCUUAGAUAUCACGAAGAACACCGAUUGCGAAGGCAGCUUACUAAACUGCCACUGACAUUGAUGCUCGAAAGUGUGGGUAGCAAACAGGAUUAGAUACCCCAGUAGUC